AACGCGAAGAACCUUACCAGGUCUUGACAUCCUCUGAAAACUCUAGAGAUAGAGCUUCUCCUUCGGGAGCAGAGUGACAGGUGGUGCAUGGUUGUCGUCAGCUCGUGUCGUGAGAUGUUGGGUUAAGUCCCGCAACGAGCGCAACCCUCAUCCUUAGUUGCCAUCAGGUUAAGCUGGGCACUCUGAGGAAACUGCCGGUGACAAGCCGGAGGAAGGCGGGGAUGACGUCAAGUCCUCAUGGCCCUUAUGGGCUGGGCUACACACGUGCUACAAUGGCGGUGACAGAGGGCGGCGAGGCAGCGAUGCCAAGCCAAUCUCAAAAAGCCGUCUCAGUUCGGAUUGCACUCUGCAACUCGAGUGCAUGAAGUCGGAAUCGCUAGUAAUCGCGGAUCAGCAUGCCGCGGUGAAUACGUUCCCGGGCCUUGUACACACCGGUACUA
rnacentral:rRNA from 1 species